GCCUUCGUGGUGUAAUGGUCAGCACACUGAGCCGGUAUUUCAGAGGUCCGAGGUUCAAAUCCCGGCGAAGGCC
rnacentral:tRNA from 1 species